AUUGAACGCUGGCGGCAGGCUUAACACAUGCAAGCCGAGCGGGGGAAGGUAGCUUGCUACCGGACCUAGCGGCGGACGGGUGAGUAAUGCUUAGGAAUCUGCCUAUUAGUGGGGGACAACAUCUCGAAAGGGAUGCUAAUACCGCAUACGUCCUACGGGAGAAAGCAGGGGAUCUUCGGACCUUGCGCUAAUAGAUGAGCCUAAGUCGGAUUAGCUAGUUGGUGGGGUAAAGGCCUACCAAGGCGACGAUCUGUAGCGGGUCUGAGAGGAUGAUCCGCCACACUGGGACUGAGACACGGCCCAGACUCCUACGGGAGGCAGCAGUGGGGAAUAUUGGACAAUGGGGGGAACCCUGAUCCAGCCAUGCCGCGUGUGUGAAGAAGGCCUUAUGGUUGUAAAGCACUUUAAGCGAGGAGGAGGCUACUUUAGUUAAUACCUAGAGAUAGUGGACGUUACUCGCAGAAUAAGCACCGGCUAACUCUGUGCCAGCCGCCGCAGUAAUAC
rnacentral:rRNA from 1 species